CGGGACGGGGUGGAGUAAUGUCUGGGAAACUGCCUGAUGAGGGGGGAUAACUACUGGAAACGGUAGCUAAUACCGCAUAACGUCGCAAGACCAAAGAGGGGGACCUUCGGGCCUCUUGCCAUCGGAUGUGCCCAGAUGGGAUUAGCUAGUAGGUGGGGUAACGGCUCACCUAGGCGACGAUCCCUAGCUGGUCUGAGAGGAUGACCAGCCACACUGGAACUGAGACACGGUCCAG
rnacentral:rRNA from 1 species